rnacentral:rRNA from 1 species
UACGGGGGGGGUAAGCGUUGUUCGGAAUUACUGGGCGUAAAGCGUGCGCAGGCGGUUUUGUAAGUCAGAUGUGAAAUCCCCGGGCUUAACCUGGGAACUGCGUUUGAAACUACAAGGCUAGAGUGUGGCAGAGGGGGGUGGAAUUCCACGUGUAGCAGUGAAAUGCGUAGAGAUGUGGAGGAACACCGAUGGCGAAGGCAGCCCCCUGGGUUAACACUGACGCUCAGGCACGAAAGCGUGGGGAGCAAACAGG